GACGAACGCUGGCGGCGUGCUUAACGCAUGCAAGUCGAACGAAGAGCGCUGGAUGCUUGCUUCUAUCAAUCUUAGUGGCGUACGGGAGAGUAACGGGUAAUCAACCUGCCCUUCAGAGGGGGACAACAGUUGGAAACGACUGCUAAUACCGCAUACGAUCUAAUCUCGGCAUCGAGGAUAGAUGAAAGGUGGCCUCUACAUGUAAGCUAUCACUGAAGGAUGGGAUUGCGUCUGAUUAGCUAGUGGGUGGGGUAAUGGCCCACCAAGGCGAUGAGCAGUAGCCGGUCUGAGAGGAUGAACGGCCACAUGGGGACGGAGACACGGCCCAGACUCCUACGGGAGGCAGCAGUGGGGAAGCUUCCGCAAUGGACGAAAGUCGGACGGAGCAACGCCGCGUGAGCGAUGACGGCCCUCGGGUUGUAAAGCUCUGUUAAUCGGGACGAAAGGCUUUCUUGCGAAUAGUGAGAAGGAUUGACGGUACCGGAAUAGAAAGCCACGGCUAACUACGUG
rnacentral:rRNA from 1 species